UACGUAGGGUGCGAGCGUUAAUCGGAAUUACUGGGCGUAAAGCGUGCGCAGGCUGUUCUGUAAGUCAGAUGUGAAAUCCCCGAGCUCAACUUGGGAACUGCGUUUGAAACUACAGGACUAGAAUAUGUCGAGAGGGGGGUAGAAUUCCACGUGUAGCAGUGAAAUGCGUAGAGAUGUGGAGGAAUACCAAUGGCGAAGGCAGCCCCCUGGGAUAAUAUUGACGCUCAUGCACGAAAGCGUGGGGAGCAAACAGG
rnacentral:rRNA from 1 species